ACGAACGCUGGCGGCGUGCUUAACACAUGCAAGUCGAGCGGUAAGGCUCCUUCGGGAGUACACGAGCGGCGAACGGGUGAGUAACACGUGAGCAAUCUGCCCUUCACACGGGGAUAACUCCGGGAAACCGAAGCUAAUACCCGAUACGACCACUUCAGGCAUCUGAUGGUGGUGGAAAGUUCCGGCGGUGAAGGAUGAGCUCGCGGCCUAUCAGCUUGUUGGUGGGGUAAUGGCCCACCAAGGCAACGACGGGUAGCCGGCCUGAGAGGGUGACCGGCCACACUGGGACUGAGACACGGCCCAGACUCCUACGGGAGGCAGCAGUGGGGAAUAUUGGACAAUGGGCGAAAGCCUGAUCCAGCAACGCCGCGUGAGGGAUGACGGCCUUCGGGUUGUAAACCUCUUUCAGCAGGGACGAAGCGCAAGUGACGGUACCUGCAGAAGAAGCACCGGCCAACUACGU
rnacentral:rRNA from 1 species